rnacentral:rRNA from 1 species
AUCUGCGGAAAGAGGAUUCGUCCAAUUGAAGCAGAGGACAGUGGCGGACGGGUGAGUAACGCGUGAGGAACCUGCCUUUCAGAGGGGGACAACAGUUGGAAACGACUGCUAAUACCGCAUGACAUAUAGAUGUCGCAUGGCAUUUAUAUCAAAGAUUUAUCGCUGAAAGAUGGCCUCGCGUCUGAUUAGCUAGUUGGUGAGGUAACGGCCCACCAAGGCGACGAUCAGUAGCCGGACUGAGAGGUUGAACGGCCACAUUGGGACUGGGAUACGGCCCAGACUCCUACGGGAGGCAGCAGUGGGGAAUAUUGGGCAAUGGGCGCAAGCCUGACCCAGCAACGCCGCGUGAAGGAAGAAGGCUUUCGGGUUGUAAACUUCUUUUGUCAGGGACGAGUAGAAGACGGUACCUGACGAAUAAGCCACGGCUAACUACGUGCCAGCAGCCGCGGUAAUACGUAGGCGGCAAGCGUUGUCCGGAUUUACUGGGUGUAAAGGGCGUGUAGCCGGGAGGGCAAGUCAGAUGUGAAAUCCACGGGCUCAACUCGUGAACUGCAUUUGAAACUACUCUUCUUGAGUAUCGGAGAGGCAAUCGGAAUUCCUAGUGUAGCGGUGAAAUGCGUAGAUAUUAGGAGGAACACCAGUGGCGAAGGCGGAUUGCUGGACGACAACUGACGG